rnacentral:tRNA from 1 species
GGCGGGUAUAGCUCAAGGGUAGAGCAUCUCCAUGCCAAGGAGAAGGUAUUUGGUUCGACUCCGAAUGCCCGCCACC